rnacentral:rRNA from 1 species
AUUGAACGCUGGCGGCAUGCCUUACACAUACAAGUCGAACGGCAGCAUGAUCUAGCUUGCUAGAUUGAUGGCGAGUGGCGAACGGGUGAGUAAUACAUCGGAACGUGCCCUGUAGUGGGGGAUAACUAGUCGAAAGAUUAGCUAAUACCGCAUACGACCUGAGGGUGAAAGUGGGGGACCGCAAGGCCUCAUGCUAUAGGAGCGGCCGAUGUCUGAUUAGCUAGUUGGUGAGGUAAAGGCUCACCAAGGCGACGAUCAGUAGCUGGUCUGAGAGGACGAUCAGCCACACUGGGACUGAGACACGGCCCAGACUCCUACGGGAGGCAGCAGUGGGGAAUUUUGGACAAUGGGCGAAAGCCUGAUCCAGCAAUGCCGCGUGUGUGAAGAAGGCCUUCGGGUUGUAAAGCACUUUUGUCCGGAAAGAAAUGGCUCUGGUUAAUACCUGGGGUCGAUGACGGUACCGGAAGAAUAAGGACCGGCUAACUACGUG